GCGUAGUGCUUGGCGCGGUGACCAGACCUGGCCGCCUUCCUGACUGCACAGAGCAAGAGGCCACACUCUGGAUCCCAGGCCGGGUCCCUGUGGUUCUGGGAGGGAGGUCCCGGAUGCCUCCCAGAUCUCGGGCUUCUGUAACCCUGAGGCUGGGUUUUAAAAUCACGGCUCUUCCAAGUUACACGAAGAGUCCAUGGUCAAGGGUCAAGGGUGGUCUUCGACCCUCGGGAUCGUCUUCUUGAGAAAUGGCUGAGAGCUAAGCCUAGAGCUGCCCAGGGAAGGAAGCCAAAGAGCUGGAGCCGAGCGCGAAGGGCUGGGAGGCGCGGGGAGGCCCCUUACCCCCGCCCCCCCCCCCCACACUGUCCUGGCCGCUAAUAACGCUGAUAAUAGUAACAGUAUCGGCCAACUGUUUCCCCCCUGCUCCUGGUCUGCCAGGCACCGGAUCCUCCUUUAGCACUCCCAGCACUCACUGAAGAAGACACUAUGGAAUUCUCCGUUUUCCAGACUAGAAAUAAGUAACUCGGAGAAAUUAAGAAACUCGCCCGACGACCCUCAGGCAGUAGCACCUGGCCAGGCUUCGGUAGAUUGCAAAUGACCUGCUUUCUUUCGGAUCCCGGGCUGCUUUCGGACACCUGUCGAAUAGUAAAUCCCAAGUAAGGUACCUGCGGUCGUCGGCAGAUCUGAAUUUUCUUCUUGGACACCUAAUACCCACAGCCCUCCAGAGACCGAGAGGUUGAUGUCACUCCCAAUAUCGGAGGAAGUAUACACCCCCGUGUGAGAUGGUCCUUAAUAAUAUUCCACGGCGGAGGGGGUGAUAUGACUACAUACAUGGCAGAAAGUGGAAACCUCCCAGGGAUAUUGUUCCCACGAUCCUGGAGGGAAGAAGAUGAUGUUACUUUCAAUAUGACAGAAGGUGGAUGAAGUGGUGGACUGCCCCUCCACACCUGUGGACACGCCCCCACUGAUAUUCCUUCUAAUUGCAGCGUGGGAGAGGAGGAUAUGACACGCGAUAUCGCAGGGAGUAGAAACACCCCUGUGAUACUGUUCUUAAUAUUCAGGGAGGAAGAGGAUGAUAUUACUCCCAAUACAGACGGGUGUACACCCUCUGUACACCGAGGGUGUACACCUGUCUGUGAAAGAGUUCUUAAUCUCCAGAGGGGGAGAUGAUAUUACUCACAAUAUGGUAAAGAGGCUGUGAGUCCACGGAGGAUCCUCAGAGCCAGCGGGGGAAGAGGGGCUGGCUCUCAGUCCCCGCCUCGCGGGGGUGACUCCCCCCAGUGCGAUGGGGGUCCUAAGAGCCAGUGGGGGAAGAGGGGCUGGCUCUGAGACCCCGCCUCGCGGGGGGUGCCUCCCCGCCCUGUGAUGGGGGUCCCAAGAGCCAGAAGGCUUAGAGGGGCUGGCUCUCAGUCCCCGCCUCGCGGGGGGUGCCUCCUCCCCCUGCGAUGGGGGUCGUAAGAGCCACUGGGGGAAUAGGGGCUUGCUCUCAGUCACCGCCUCGCGGGGGGUGCCUCCUUUCCUUUCUACAUAGACACAGUGACAGUCUGAUCUCUCUUUCUUUUCCCUACAGAUGGACACGCCCCCACUGAUAUUGUUUUUAAUGCAGCGUGGGAGGGGAGGAUAUGACACGCGAUAUCGCAGCUGAGUGCCACGUGCUGACGUCACUAAGAUCAAUACAGCAAACUCUGAAAGAUGGACAGAGAGACAGGAGAUGGUCCUUUAUAAUGCAGUGUGAUCUGUGCUGCAAUAGAGUUUUGGAAGCUAGAAGUUCAAAACGAGGUGUUGGCAGCACCAUGCUCUCUCUGAAGAUGCUAGGAAGAAUCUGCUCCAUGCCUUUCCAUUCGCUCCUGGGGUUUCCUGCAAGCCCUGACAUUCCUUGGCUUGUAGAUGCAUCACCCCAGUUUCCGCCCCCAUCAUCACAUGGCCUCCUCUCUGUGUGUGCCUCUGCGUUCCCUCUAUUCUUCUUCUAAGGACACCGACACCAGUCAUAGUGGAUUAAGGGUCCACUCCUAACCAAUUACAUCUGCAACAACCCUAUUUCCAAAUAAAGUCACAUUCUAAGA
rnacentral:lncRNA from 10 species